CUCUUACCCAUGUCUUUUGAGUACCUUCGUUUCCUCGGCGGGUCCGCCCGCCGGUUGGACAACAUUCAAACCCUUUGCAGUUGCAAUCAGCGUCUGAAAAAACAUAAUAGUUACAACUUUCAACAACGGAUCUCUUGGUUCUGGCAUCGAUGAAGAACGCAGCGAAAUGCGAUAAGUAGUGUGAAUUGCAGAAUUCAGUGAAUCAUCGAAUCUUUGAACGCACAUUGCGCCCCUUGGUAUUCCAUGGGGCAUGCCUGUUCGAGCGUCAUUUGUACCUUCAAGCUCUGCUUGGUGUUGGGUGUUUUGUCUCGCCUCUGCGUGUAGACUCGCCUUAAAACAAUUGGCAGCCGGCGUAUUGAUUUCGGAGCGCAGUACAUCUCGCGCUUUGCACUCAUAACGACGACGUCCAAAAGUACAUUUUUACACUCUUGACCUCGGAUCAGGUAGGGAUACCCGCUGAACUAAAA
rnacentral:rRNA from 1 species